AAGAGGAGGAGGAGGUUUCCGAGUUGCAAAAUUCUGCAAAAACUCUCAAGAUGUAAACUUACUGCAAGAUUAUAUAAAACCAUCAUUCCAAAUCUUGUUUGGUCUCAUUGAUUCUGUGAACAACUUACUUCAUUACAAACUAGUUUAUGUUUAAUUUUGAUCAGAGACAAACGUACAAUGAAAACCAUCAUUCCAAAUCUUUAUAAGCAAGUUAAAGAAAGGCGAUGAGAGACCAAGAUCGCAGGUUUACUUGCACUGGUUGUUGGUUAAAGCUUUGGUUACACAAUGCGAAACGAUUCCAACCGGGCAGAAGAGAAGGCAAAGCGAAACAGAAUGCCUUGUUUCGAUCUGGUUCAGUAAACCAUCAUUAUAAACUUGCCUACAAGAGAAAACCCAAAACACGCGUUAUUAAGAAACAUGUUCGGAUAAAUUCAGAACCCGGUGAGAAGAAGAAGAAGCCCGGAUAUAUAUACCUGGCAGCGAAAAGAUCGACAACAAGAAGAUGAAUCCACGCAGAAGCAAGAGUCAUUUCACUUGAGAACAUUUUCGCUAUCCCCGACAACUGCAGAUGAAAUUAAACUUUAGAGAUUGCAAUGAUACAUUAUCAUAGACAUUCUUGUUUUUCACAAAUUUCAGGAAAGCGGAUAAACCUCUGGCAACAUGUAUUUACUAGAAAACAUGUAUUUGAGCGUCUCGGGUGUCCAAGAAAGGUAUAACAAAUACGCGUAUAACACGCCUAAGACGAUAUACGGUAAGCUACUCUCCAUACACUUCUUGGUCUGCACAAAGAAACUCAAUUUAGAUCCAAAUUCCUUUGAGUCUGCACAAGAAAUUGCAAAACUUGCAACAAAAAACAUAAUCUUACAAUCUCAGCUUUUGGAGCUACAACCAUAAGAGUGUAAAAGGGAAGAACUGCGGUAGUUCCAACUGCAAACACACUGCUUGCAAUCUGAGAUGUAGCCAACACUGCAACAUAAACAUAUCAGAGAUCAAAACCACAAAAAUGAGUGACAAAGUUUCAAGCUUUAAGUUCAAUGAAAGUGCAGAGAGAGACACAUUACAUGAAGCUUGUACGCCAGAGACUUUCUUGUAAACUACAGAGCAAGAAUUCGAUGAAACAUUGGGGUGAAGCGAGAUUCUUGAUCCUCCAACGAAGCUCCAAGGAUUAUCUAAUCUAAUUCUUGAAGAAUCAAGAAAAAGUUCCGAUCUUUUAACAGUAAAGUUGCGUUUCAUCAUCUGAAAUCAACCAAAAAAGAACGAACUUUUUUUACUUCAUCUCUUAAAAAUUCAGAAACUUUCAUAUAGAAACAGAGGCUCUCUAAAACAGGUGACCCACGGAGAAGUCAAUUCAAUGAUAUAUAAAAAAAACAUUCUGGGUCAAUUCAAAACCCAUUAAAUUCUCCAAAUUGAGUCAAAAGGUAAAGACUUUAAGGUUAUCUAUAACUAUAGUAAGAACCUCAACACAGAAUCUAAACCGACAAAAGAUUCACAAACACAGUAUAAGUGAAAUCUGGAGAUAAAAGAAGAGUACCGAGAGAGAUGAAGAAGAGAAAGGCUGAGAAAUGAGAGAAGUAAAAACCAUCUUUGAUUCAAAACUUCAAUACCCUUUGCCAAAAACUGAUCCUUCAUUACCUAACUUAACCAAACUCUCUCCAUAUAUAGAUGGAACACUGAGUAAUGAUGGUUUGAGAGGUGUUGUUUCCACUGAAUACGGAAGUGGAAGGGUGAAAGAAAAAAGUUGUCUUUCACUCUUUCUUCCUCAGUGUGUCCACAAUUAUAUGCAACACGUUUUUUUUUUGCUCAUACAGUCCUCCUCUUUAAAAAGUUUUCAUCUUUUACGAUAACUUUUCCUUUUUAAUAUAAUUUAGACAUUUUUUUUGACAUCGUAUAAUUUACACUUAUUUUUUUAGUAUAAAAGUUAAUAAUUCCUUUCGAUUUCAUCUUAAAGUUUUAAACUACAUUUUUUUAAAAAAAAAUAUUGGUUUACUUCAAUGAAAGAUAUCAUUUAGUACUUUAGUAUAUAAGUAUAUUAACGUAUAAUAUGUUUUAGUGAAUCAUCGUUAUAUAUAUAGAAUUCAACAUGUUGAUCGACAUUUAUUUAUAUGUAUUGGCUUUGAUUGGUAACACAAUUAAAAGUGGUUGGAGAUUCAAUCAUUCCUUAACUUAGUUACUAAUUAGAUGAACCAUCGAAAUAAACGUAUGAAACGAAUAGUAGAAGGUAUGGUUAAAAAGAUGGUAAAAACUUAAAUGAGGCGGUUGCCAACUGCUCAAAUGAGGCGGUUGCCAACCGCGUCGUUUAUAUGAUGUUGCCAAUAUGAGCCAUUAUGUGAAAGGGAGAUGGAAGUGAAAGUGAAUUUAGGUGGACAAGAGACAAGUCUAGUUUCAGAAAAAGACAAAGGUUGGUGUUGCUCCCAUUAAUUUUGUAAAACAAGAAAAAGAUAGAGAUAUAGUUAAUGGCUAAUAAUCUAAAUAUAUAACUCACUGCUUGAGAAAGUGGAUGAAGUAAGAUAACUUGGGUGGGCUAUUUGGUAUAUAACUUAAAAUUUAAUUAAUGGGCCUUUUGAUCCACCCAUUUUGUUUUUCUUUUGUAACUCCCACUUACACUGUUCAGUCAACAAAUAAAAACAAAUUUGUGGUAUCUUUCAAUCUUGUUGUGGGAUUUUCGCAUUUCGAUGUAUUCGAUGGUGGCCAAAACUAAGAUUAAAUGGUAAAAAGAUUUUUUCCUUAAUUUUUAAAAAGAUUUGAUUAUAUUUUCUGAUUUGAAAACUUUUACUAUAUCUAUAACUUCAAAAAACCGCAAAUUCUUACAAGCCUCAUAUAUCUUAUCCUAUUCCGACAAGUACCUAAACAACAUUACUACAAAUUAUACAUUUCACACUAUAGAGUUCAAAUAUGUGAACUUGGGCCAAGUCAUUUGAUUGAGGAAAUAUAUAAUAUGAUCCACAAGAUCCUUGAAUAUACUCUUGAGUAAAAAAACAAAAGAAUAUUCGAGACCUCUUAUCAAGAAUCCUAUCCUAAAGAAAGCACAUCCACUUAUGUUUCCAUCACUAGAUUUCAAGUGGGUCAUCAUCAUCUUUUACUUCAAGAUAUUGUUUAGUCUAAACCUCUCAAACCUCCUUAAUCGUGUGAUCUAAUCUAUCUUAUGUGUUUCUUCAACUUGUAAAUUUUCAUAUUUGUUGAGUCACAUUGUCCUAUUUUCUUUAAUGUUCAUAUGCAAUUCAAAUUUCAAGAGAUAUUAUAGAACAUUACAUAUUUAUUUCAUCAGAUAGUUGAGAAUCCGAUAGAAAAUGUCUCGCAAACCGGAAAACAAACGUUAAAUCCGGAAAUUAAAACUUUAGAUAAAAAUUAAAAAGAAAAAAGGAAAAAGCAGAAAUUGAUAUAAAAUCAAAGGUGGAGGAGGGGAUGAGAUAAAGUUUUUGAUAUGUUUUACAAGAAACAAAGCAAAGCAAAGAGAGAGAUUAAGCAUCGGUGAAGCGAGGGGGCUUGUAGGCAAUGAAACUGAUGCACUGCACUUGACGGGUGUUGUCGAAUCCGAUGAUCCUGAUGAAGGCUUCAGGGUACUCCUUCUUGCACUCGUUAACUUCCUUCAACACUUGUGCUGAGUCAGUGCAUCCGAACAAGGGUAGCUUCCACAUUGUCCAGUACCUUCCAUCGUAGUAUCCGGGGGUGUUACCGUGCUCACGGUGCACAAACCCGUUCUAUAAUAUAAAAAAAAACCAAACCACACAUGUUACGACCACAACAACAACAACAACAACAAAAGUCCAAGAUCUAAGCUAGUUUAUGUUUUUUUCUUACCUCCAACUCGAAUUCAACACAGGGAAUCCACUUGUUGCGGAGGAGGUAGUCAACUUCCUUUCCCAACUCGACCUCGGAAAGGUCAGGAAGGUAAGAGAGAGUCUCGAACUUCUUCUUUCCGAUCGGAGGCCACACCUUUGAGAUUCAGACAAAACAACAUAUGAGUUCAUGUAAUUCGAACGAAAAAAGAAGAAGAAGAAAAAAGAUGUAUGACCUUCAUGCAGCUAACUCUUCCGCCGUUGCUUGUGAUGGAAGUAAUGUCGUUGUUGGCCUUGCGGGUGGAAGGGAAAGCAGCGGAGGACUUAAGUCCGGUGAAAGGAGCGACCAUAGUGGCCUGAGCCGGGGAGGCAACCAUUGUAGCGGAAGAGAGCAUAGAGGAAGCCAUUGUGUUCUUUCUCUUUUACUCUUUUGUGUGACUGAGGUUCUGUCUAGUGCUUUGGUCAUCUAUAUAUAAUGAUAAUAACAAUGAUAACAAUCACUUGAGUGAUCGUAGGGUCGAGGAAUCAUGAGGCUUGAGUGGGAAAGGAUUUAGACCGUUGGAUGAUGAGUGUGUGGAUAUGUGUGUGUGUGUGAGGUUUUAAGUCACUUGGUAACGGCCACAGAAGCCUAAGGUAAGGUCCUGAGAGACCCUUAUCGGUUUGUAACGCUAGAACAGUGCCACGUGGAAGAUAAAUCUUAUCGUUAUCUAUGAGUG
rnacentral:lncRNA from 1 species